CUUGCGAGCCUCGCCCCCAACCCGGACUCGCGCCGCGCCCCAAACGGUCCGCUGCUCCGGGCCGGGUUACGAGGAGAUCCUGAAGGCUCCUCCCUGGGAAGGGGACCUCAAAGGCCAGGACACCUGAGCCUCGCCCCGACGCAAGUAGAGAUGCCUCUGCCGCAGUUCCAGGAAUGGAGGAAGAAUCUAGGGUGGCACCUAAAAAUGAAAUACGGACUGUAAACAGAUACGGAAAAGGCUGACUGCCUGCCGCUCAGGAGAUGAUGCUGGAGAGGAGGUGGAAUAAUCUUUAACCCCCUCAUUUUACAGAAGAAAAAACUUUGAGAAGAGCUGAGUCAGGCUGAUAAUGGGAAGAACCAGGUUUCCUGUCUGGACUCCAUGAUUGGUCCCUUUACACUUUACAGUGUUGGCAAAGAGAAGGCAUAACUGUGUUAAAACACGUUAAAAAAACUGUUCACAGAAAUAAAAGCAGACGAUGUAAUCUGGAGCACUUCCCACUUUCAUUUACUUAGGAUUCCUCUCCUCCUGACAUUUGGGGUGACUAACAGAGAAGAAACAGCAAUAAAAAAUAAAACAGAAGCAAGUUAUUUCCCUCUUCUGCUUUUCCUGUCACCUUUGUCUCCUUGGAAGAGCUUCUCAACUUCUAAUGUUUCAAACCCACCUUUGUAAGACUCUUCAGUGGUCACCCACCCACCUUCCAAAAAAAAAGGGGGGGGAGAAGCCAACUAAAACCAAAACCAAAGUGGGCCAUUUAUACAAAAUGUCCAGCCUAGGCAAAUCUACAGAGACAGAAUUACAUUAGUUCUGCGUGUUUACUCCUCUCACUCUUAGGGGAUCUGGGCCAUCUGGCCCUGCAGAUGUUUCCUGAAUCUCCAAAUGUGUCACCUCCAGGGUUGCCUGCCUCCUGCUCCUGCCACCCCUUCACAUUCUGCAAGGCUUCACGUAAUAGAAGGAAGCAUGCUAGUUCCCUUGACCACCUGCUCACCCCCUCCUCUGCCACCUCAUUUCUUGGCCACUCUGGAUGGAGCUGGGAUAAAGAAAGGAAGGACAGACAAGGCAGAAUAGAGAGCCUCAGAUGUUUGGAAGGAGCACAGUGCUACACUCAGAAGCCCUGGAAUCAACCCACGUGGACUUAGCUCCUGGCCAGCCUGUUACUAUGUGGCCUUAGGUGAGUUACUCAGGCAUUAGAGCCUCCGCUCUUCUCUCCGUGAAGAGGAGAUACUCACAGUAUUGAUGCCAUGGCCCUGGAGAGGCUGGAAGGCCAUGGGUGUGAAGCACGGGGCUUGGCUCAGAGGGAGCCUCAGUACAUGUGAACCAUUGUUGUUAUUCUAGAGCUUGGAAUUCAGAAUCAGAACCGGGCUGGGUUUCACUCACAAGAGCACAUGGAUACAGCUCGGUCCUAGAUGCAGCUUUAGCUGAAUCCUGAGCGCAGCCUCCAGGUUGAGGGGUCUGUGAAGUGCUCCUGGCUUUCAGGACUGAGUAAGCCUCUGCUCUCUCUUCUCUGGGGCUGCCUCUCCAUUCCUCUGGGGCUUGGGGGAGCAGGGGGUGCUGCUUCCAGCCAUGGGACUGGACUGAAACUCGGUAUUUAUUGCUUGUCUGGGGCACCUCCUUAUGGCAUCUAUUUCCUUAGUCAUCACCACGUGUCUGCUAUGUGCCAGGCACUGUAAUGGUUGCUAGGGCUGUGCAAAGAUAGAUCCAAUUUGGACCCCAUCCUCGAAGAUCUUACAGUUCAACCAGGAGGAUAAGACAUGUGUGACUGGGCCAUUUAUCAGUUGAUAAUUAUUUAUUGACUGCCUACCAUGUGCAAGAUGCUGUAUAAGACAUUGAUUCAGGCACGGCCAUAGAAAUCCAGGGGAGGGAGAAAUAAUGGUGGUUUAGUCAUAUUCAUCUAACCUAGUGCCUGACUUCCAGAAAAGCUGAUGAGACAGAUGGGGUUGGUUGGAUGUUUGGUUGUCAGGGAAGGUUUCACAGAAUAGGAGAACAAGCCGAGGACAUUGCUGAAUAGAAUCU